UUACUUUUGACAGAGCCUACAACUUUUUCUUCUCUGAUAAUCUUCGCUCUAGGCCAAAAGCCUGUUGUCAUUGCCUUGUUCACAUUAAACAGUAAUCAGUGAGAUUCCUUCCGCCCAUCAUUUCACUUCUCACUAGCAUGGAGCUCAGGUACCACUAGAGGCAUUCUGGUGGGCUAGUCCAGCCAGCUCUCCAGGUCAUUAGUGCCACACAUUAAGCUCUGGGGAUGGGCAGGCUUUUGUCCUCUCAAAAGUGUGCAGAGUUUUGACUCUAUGAUAUAGCUUUCAGUGUUAACAGAUAGGAAUUGGGUGACUCAAAUGAUGUGCCAGACCUUCUAUGUGUUAUCUCAAAUACUGCUUCCAACCAACCUUAGAAGCUAAGUACUAUCAUCAUCCCUGUUUUACAGAAGCGCAAAGAAGUUAAGUACUUGACCAAGUUCACACCAAGAUUUGAACCCAGGUAGUCUUACUUCAGAGCCUACGUUCUUAUCCGUGCCCAUUGCCAGCCUCGUGCUCAUUCGUUUGUGCCGGGAAACUCAUGCUUUAUCCCUAGAACUCCUCCAGUGGCAGUUUUGUACAGAUCGGAGGAAGUGGUGAACUCAGACAGCAGAGUCAGGCACAAGAAGGAGGAUAUUAUUUGGUGCCCAUUCAGUUGCUGUGCCUGUUACGGCUUAGUCUGUGGCCUGCCUGUUUACUGUCUUGAUGGUGUCUUUUGAUGAGCAGUUUAAGGGUCUUGGUGCUCCGGCUGGGUGUUAGUCCUGAGCCUCUGAGGUGGGAGAGCCAAUUUCAGGACAUUGAUCCACCAGAAACCUCCCAGCCCCAUGUUAUAUCAAACAGCGAAAGCUCUCCCAGAGAUCUACAUCUCAGUGCUAAGACCCAGCUCCACUCAAUGACCAGCAAGCUACAGUGCUGGACACCCCAUGCCAAACAACUAGAAAGACAGGAACACAACCCCAUCCAUUAGCAGGAAGGCUGCCUAAAAUCAUAAUAAGUUCACAGACACCUCAAAACACACCACCAGAUAUGGUCCUGCCCACCAGAAAGACAAGAUCCAGCCUCAUCCACCAGAACACGGGCACCAGUCCCCUCCACCAGGAACCCUACACAACCAACUAAGCCAACCUUACCCACUGGGGGCAGACACCAAAAACAAUGGGAACUACGAACCUGCAGCCUGUGAAAAGGAGACCCCAAACACAGUAAGUUAAGCUAAAUGAGAAGACAAAGGAACACACAGCAGAUGAAGGAGGAAGGUAAAAACCCACCAGACCAAACAAAUGAAGAGGAAAUAGGCAGUCUACCUGCAAAAGAAUUCAGAGUAAUGAUAGUAAAGAUGAUCCAAAAUCUUGGAAAUUGAAUGGAGAAAAUACAAGAAACGUUUAACAAGGACCUAGAAGAACUAAAGAGCAAACAAACAAUGAUGAACAACACAAUAAAUGAAAUUAAAAAUUCUCUAGAAGGAAUCAAUAGCAGAAUAACUGAGGCAGAAGAACAGAUAAGUGACCUGGCAGAUAAAAUAGUGGAAAUAACUACCGCAGA